GGGCGUGUAGCUCAGUUGGGAGAGCCCUGCUGAAAAAGCAGAUGGUCAGUUUGGAUCGCUUCUCGCGCAAACCA
rnacentral:tRNA from 1 species